rnacentral:rRNA from 1 species
UACGAAGGGGGCUAGCGUUGUUCGGAAUCACUGGGCGUAAAGCGCACGUAGGCGGAUUUUUAAGUCAGGGGUGAAAUCCCGAGGCUCAGCCUCGGAACUGCCUUUGAUACUGGAGAUCUUGAGUCCGGAAGAGGUAAGUGGAACUGCGAGUGUAGAGGUGAAAUUCGUAGAUAUUCGCAAGAACACCAGUGGCGAAGGCGGCUUACUGGUCCGGAACUGACGCUGAGGUGCGAAAGCGUGGGGAGCAAACAGG